rnacentral:rRNA from 1 species
UACGUAGGGUGCAAGCGUUGUCCGGAAUUAUUGGGCGUAAAGAGCUCGUAGGCGGUUUGUCGCGUCUGCUGUGAAAACUCGGGGCUUAACCCCGGGCCUGCAGUGGGUACGGGCAGACUAGAGUGCGGUAGGGGAGACUGGAAUUUACGGUGUAGCGGUGAAAUGCGUAGAUAUCGUAAGGAAGACCAGUGGCGAAGGCGGGUCUCUGGACAGUUCCUGACGCUGAGGCACGAAGGCCAGGGGAGCAAACGGG